AUGGCUUCCAUUCACUGGGCGCUACUACUCUUUCUUGUACAACUCCCCAUACUGGCCACCUCCAGAGCUUACAAUGAUGGUAACCUCACACUGUGGUGCCAUCCAGAUCAGGCUGCAGCGCUUCUCCAACUGAAGCAAUCCUUCUCUGUUGCAGCAACCACCGCCACUCUCCUUCCGUCAUGGCAAAAUCGCACCAAUUGCUGUCUCUGGGAGGGCAUUAGCUGUGAUGCUUCUUCUGGUCUUGUGACAGUACUAGACCUCAGUGGGCAUGGCCUGAACAGUUAUGGCUUGGACCCGGCGCUCUUCAGCCUCAAAUCCCUCCGAUGUCUCAAUUUCUCCAACUCGGGCUUGGAUGGCCAGAUACCUAUUGGCAUCAGCAAACUCGUUAACCUUGUCUCCUUGGAUCUUUCAAGUCGCAGAGUUUCUGAUUAUGAUGAUCCUACCUCUGCAGCUGACUGGUUUAAUCAUCUUUGGGAGCCCAAUUUUGAGAUCCUGGUAGCGAACCUCAACAAUCUAAGAGAGCUCUACCUUGAUGGGGUGGAGAUAAUGUCUAGCAGCGGUGAAGAUUGGGGCAAAGCUCUUGCAAAAUAUGUUCCUCGUCUUCAGGUACUUAGCUUGGAGGGAUGCGGGCUGAAUGGUCCUAUUCAUCAUUCCCUCUCGAGCCUCCAUUCUCUUGUUGCGAUCAACCUUGGAUCCAAUGAUGUUGGUCCGAUUCCAGAGUUCUUCGCAGAUUUUCCCAAUCUAAGUGAGCUUCAACUUUCGUAUAUGAAUCUUCAGGGGUGGUUCCCUCAAAGAAUUUUUCAACUCAAAAAUUUAAGGGUCCUAGAUUUGUCCUCAAACCCGAAUCUCUCGGGGCAUUUGCCAAACUUUCCCCAUGCAAGUUCUCUACAUACUUUGAGGCUAGAGGGGACCAACUUCUCCUAUCGUAACCCAAGUUCUUCUGGCGAUUUCAAGAUGUUGAGGGAGUUAACUCUUGACGGGAUAUUUCUGUCGAUGGAUUUUCUCUCUUCAUUCGGUGUACUUGGAUCUUUAUGCCAGUUGAAAGUUGAUUUGAGGAACUCACAAAAUGUUUUGGGACCGAUUUUUUCAUGGAUUGGAGACUUCAGGAACUUGGCGAGCUUGGAUAUCUAUAGGUGCGACUUCUCUUGGACAACGCCUUCCUCCAUUGGCAACCUGAAGGCGUUGAGAAGCUUGAAGAUGUUUGAUUGCAACCUCCCUAGGCCCAUACUGUCUGAAAUUGGCAAUCUCAUUAAUUUGCAAAACUUGGAAAUAUCUGGUAUGUCUAACUGCAAAUUGCAUGGUUCAGUUACAUCCUCAAUAGGCAACCUCACAAAUUUAAGAAGCUUGUACAUGAAGAAUUGUGAUUAUUGUGGAGCAAUUCCAGCUGCAAUUGGCUAUCUCAGAAACUUAAGAAGAUUGGCGAUCUACCAUUGUGACUUUACUGGGGCAUUACCAUCUGCAGUUGGCAACCUCACUAAUUUGAAAAGCAUGGUUAUUGAACGUAGUCAGCUUUCUGGGCCAAUACCUUAUGCAGUUGGGCAACUCAAGGAAUUGACACAGCUAACUAUUACAGUCGGGAACAUCUCUGGGAGGAUACCAAGUUCAGUUCUCAAUUUGACUAAGCUGGUUGGACUGGAUCUCUCUUAUAAUCAUGUGACAGGUCAUAUUCCGACACCUCUUUUCGCUCUUCCAAAAUUAAGCUACUUGAAUCUUGGUUGGAACCAACUUUAUGGUCCUAUAGAAGAGUUCGACGCACUAUCUUCAUGCUUACAGUUGGUGAUUUUGAGCGGAAAUUCAUUGGCAGGACAAUUUCCCAAGUCGUUCUUUCAACUUGCAGAGUUGGUUCGUCUAGAAAUCAACUUGAACAACUUUGUAGAUUCAGUGGAUCUUUCAUCAUUUGGGAGGUUAAGAAAGCUCACUGGUUUGGAUCUUUCCCACAAUAAGUUGUCUGUUAUGAUUGACGAAGGCAAUAACUCUCUGUAUACCUCUCUGUUUGGACUGGACGAACUGGGACUAGCAUGUUGCAAUAUAACCAAAUUUCCUAGUUUUUUGACACAUCUUGACAGAAUGGUUUAUCUAGACCUUUCUUGCAACAAGAUCGCUGGAGAUAUACCAAAGUUGAUAUGGGAGAGAUGGAACAAUAGCCUUUUACAACUAAAUCUUUCACACAACAUGUUCACCAGUAUGCAACUUACUUCAUAUGUUCUUCCAUUCAGUGGGUACCUGGAAGUGUUUGAUCUUAGUUCCAAUAGGCUACGGGGACAGAUCCCUAUGCCAGACUUAUCAUCAGAAUAUUUGGAUUAUUCACACAACUUUUUCUCUUCUGUUCUUCCAAACUUCACUCUGUAUCUCAGUCACACCAACUAUCUCAGUAUGUCCAACAAUAGUAUAAAUGGAUAUAUACCAGAAACAGUUUGCCAUUCCAUGUUGGAUGUCCUUGACCUAUCAUAUAACAACUUUAGCGGGCCGAUUCCGUCCUGUUUGAUAGAAAAUGCUCAACGGAGCGUAUUAAAUUUGAGAGAGAAUCACUUUGAAGGGACGUUGCCAUCCAAUAUUACAAGCGAAUGCACUUUCCAGACAAUAGAUUUACAUGACAAUAAGAUUGAAGGACAAAUUCCGAGGGGACUUUCUAACUGCAGUUAUUUGGAGGUUCUUGAUAUUGGAAACAAUCGAAUAGUUGAUACUUUUCCAUCCUGGCUAGGGGAGCUUUCCAAUCUAUAUGUUCUUAUCUUAAGAUCCAACCAGUUCUAUGGUUCCAUAGAUGAUGUUAUUGGGAACCACCAAUCUGGAGGGUUGUUCCCUAGCUUGCAAAUUAUUGAUCUUUCCUUGAACAACUUCUCUGGCAAUUUGAAUUCAGAAUGGUUUGGUCAGUUGAAAUCAAUGAUGGGCAAGUUCAAUAGUUCUGGAGAUAUUGUCCGUGCUACAAACUUAGAAGGUAUGGCGGAAUACUACCAAGAUUCUACUGAGCUCACAUACAAGGGGUCCGACGUGACAUUUACAAGGAUCCUGACCACUUUAACAGCAAUUGACCUUUCAAAUAAUAGAUUGGAAGGUACCAUUCCUGAGUCAGUUGGACGGCUUGUUUCACUGCGCGUACUGAACAUGUCACACAAUGCAUUCACGGGAAAAAUUCCAACCCAGCUUGGCGGUGUGACUGAUCUGGAGUCACUAGACCUGUCUUGCAACCAACUCUCUGGGGAGAUUCCACAGGAACUCACAAAUCUCAACUUUCUGGCCACCCUGAACUUGUCCGACAACCGGUUGGUGGGGAAGAUACCGCAGUCAGGCCAGUUCCUCACAUUUGAUAUCAAUUCAUUCGAAGGGAAUUUGGGACUGUGUGGACCGCCAUUCUCCAACCCCUGUGGUGUAUCACUUGCUCCUCCAAGCAUGGCACGUGUGGAGAAGUCAUCUGAUGUGGAUGUCAUCCUGUUUCUCUUCGCCGGGCUGGGCUUCGGUGUUGGAUUUGCAGCUGCCAUUCUGAUGAGAUGGGGUCGAAUCGGCAAAUGGUUUGUUAAAUCUGCAAGAGCUUUGUGGACUUGA
rnacentral:rRNA from 1 species